UCCUGAAAACUGCUGCCAAGUGGCUGCCGCCCAAGAGACUGCAGAAUUUCUGGCACUAGGCAGAAUCGAUGGCUGCAGCCAAGUGAUUGUUGCUGAACUUACCUGUGUCGAAAGGUCAGCCUUGCGGUGCUAAGGCUGGGCACAAUCACUGAAGGCAAAUUGGAUUGUGAAUGGAGGCCCUGAGGCAUGUUCUGCACUUUGCAACUGGUCUGGCAGGCUCCUCCACCUCCUGAGUCUGCCACGGGCAUGGGAAACACCUGGGCAGUGACAAAGGCAGGUGGUGAGAAUCCUGGAGUGUGACUAAGUUGCCCCCAAAUGAUGAGAUGACCACUGUUCUUAUUGCAUCACACGACUCAAAACUGCAUUCAUAAUGGGCUUUGUGGCUGACUUGAUGUAACUGUGGAGAAAGGAAAUGAACAGGUGCCUGGUGAUCAAAGAUUCUGUGCUUGGUGAUUGUUUUGGAUGGGGUCCCUGCUUCUUGAGAAGCUGGGGCCAUCUCAAACUAAGGCAAGUAUGGGAAUAUUAGAUUUUCUUUUUUUGAUAAAGCAUAGAGAUGAAAACAGGAGAAGGGGGUGUCAUUAAAAUUAGAGAACCAGUCAGCCAUUUGGUGACCAUCGCGAGGCAAUGGGAAGAACAAGAGACCAGGAUGACGAGCUGGAUGGUGGUUUGGGAUGAGUUAAUUAACCUCCCUGAACUGCAGUUUUUAAAGUAUAGGUAGUGCUUCAUAUCAGUUUUCAAAGUCAGUUGAGAGUGGAGCAUGCUGCAUCUUCAUACUUGUCUUGCAGAAGCUCGUAACAUAGGCGUUGAAAGAGUCUGAACAUGGUGUGCCUGGGCGACUCAGUCCAUUAAGUGUCCGACUUCAGCUCAAGUUAUGGUCUCAUGGUUUGUGGGUUCAA